rnacentral:rRNA from 1 species
AUUGAACGCUGGCGGCAUGCCUUACACAUGCAAGUCGAACGGUAACGCGGGGCAGCCUGGCGACGAGUGGCGAACGGGUGAGUAAUGCAUCGGAACGUGCCCAGUUGUGGGGGAUAACUGCUCGAAAGAGCAGCUAAUACCGCAUACGACCUGAGGGUGAAAGCGGGGGAUCGCAAGACCUCGCGCAAUUGGAGCGGCCGAUGUCGGAUUAGCUAGUUGGUGGGGUAAAGGCCCACCAAGGCGACGACCCGUAGCUGGUCUGAGAGGACGACCAGCCAAACUGGGACUGGGACACGGCCCAGACUCCUACGGGAGGCAGCAGUGGGGAACUUUGGACAAUGGACGAAAGGCUGAUCCAGCCAUGCCGCGUGCGGGAAGAAGGCCUUCGGGUUGUAAACCGCUGUUGUCAGGGAAGAAAUCUUCUGGGUUAAUACCUCGGGAGAAUGACGGUACCUGAAGAAUAAGCACCGGCUAACUACGUGCCAGCAGCCGCAGUAACAC